GACAGGUGGUGCAUGGUUGUCGUCAGCUCGUGUCGUGAGAUGUUGGGUUAAGUCCCGCAACGAGCGCAACCCUUAAGCUUAGUUGCCAUCAUUAAGUUGGGCACUCUAAGUUGACUGCCGGUGACAAACCGGAGGAAGGUGGGGAUGACGUCAAAUCAUCAUGCCCCUUAUGAUUUGGGCUACACACGUGCUACAAUGGACAAUACAAAGGGCAGCGAAACCGCGAGGUCAAGCAAAUCCCAUAAAGUUGUUCUCAGUUCGGAUUGUAGUCUGCAACUCGACUACAUGAAGCUGGAAUCGCUAGUAAUCGUAGAUCAGCAUGCUACGGUGAAUACGUUCCCGGGUCUUGUACACACCGCCCGUCACACCACGAG
rnacentral:rRNA from 1 species